AACGAACGCUGGCGGCAUGCCUAACACAUGCAAGUCGAACGAGAACUUCGGGUCUCGUGGCGCACGGGUGCGUAACGCGUGGGAAAAUGCCCUUAGGUUAGGAAUAACUCCCCGCCAGGGGUGCUAAUAAAGGAUAAUGUCCUCGGACCAAUGAUUUAUCGCCUUUGGAUGGGCCCGCGUUGGAUUAGAUAGAUGGUAGGGUAAAAGCCUACCAAGGCGACGCGCCAGAGCUGGUCUGAGAGGUUGAGCAGCCACACUGGGACUGAGACACGGCCCAGACUCCUACGGGAGGAAGCAGUGGGGAAUAUUGGACAAGGGGCGAAAGCCUGAUGCUGCAGGGCCGCGUGAGUGAUGAAGGUCUUAGGGUUGUAAAGCUCUUUUACCCGGGAGGAUAAUGACAGUAGCGGGAGAAGAAGCACCGGCUAACUCCGUG
rnacentral:rRNA from 1 species